rfam:Homo sapiens chromosome 14, GRCh38 reference primary assembly.
GCCGGGCAUGGUGGCGCAUGCCUGUAAUCCCACCUACUUGGGAGGCUGAGGCAGGAGAAUCGCUUGAACCUGGGAGGUGUAGGUUGUAGUGAGCAAAGAUUGCACCAUUGUACUUUAGCCUGGGUGACAGACUGCAGCCUGGGCAACAGAGUGAGACCCUGUUUUUU